UACGGAAGAGGCUAGCGUUGAUCGGAAUUACUGGGCGUAAAGAGCGCGUAGGCGGCUUACCAAGUUGGGGGUGAAAUCCCGGAGCUCAACUCCGGAACUGCAUUCAAAACUGGUAGGCUCGAGUCCGGAAGAGGGGCGUGGAAUUCCCUGUGUAGAGGUGAAAUUCGUAGAUAUUGGGAAGAACACCGGUGGCGAAGGCGGCGCCCUGGUCCGGUACUGACGCUGAGGCGCGAAAGCGUGGGGAGCAAACAGG
rnacentral:rRNA from 1 species